rnacentral:rRNA from 1 species
AGAAUCAACGCUGGCGGCGUGCCUAACACAUGCAAGUCGAACGAGAAAGUGGAGCAAUCCAUGAGUAAAGUGGCGCACGGGUGAGUAACACGUGACUAACCUACCCUUGAGUGGGGGAUAACUGAGGGAAACCUUAGCUAAUACCGCAUAAUACCCACGGGUCAAAGGAGCAAUUCGCUCGGAGGAGGGGGUCGCGGCCGAUUAGUUAGUUGGCGGGGUAAUGGCCCACCAAGACGAUGAUCGGUA